AACGUAGGACACAAGCGUUAUCCGGAGUUACUGGGCGUAAAGGGCGCGUAGGCGGCUCGCGAGGUCGGGGGUGAAAGCCCGCAGCUUAACUGCGGAAGUGCCUUCGAUACCGGCGGGCUAGAGGGAGGUAGGGGUGCGCGGAACUUCUGGUGGAGCGGUGAAAUGCGUAGAGAUCAGGCAGAACACCCGUGGCGAAGGCGGCCAGCUGGGCCGACCCUGACGCUGAGGCGCGAAGGCGUGGGGAGCGAACGGG
rnacentral:rRNA from 1 species